rnacentral:misc_RNA from 1 species
ACAAAUGCUACUUUGCUUCGAGGGUUUCGAGCUUCUGUAAAUUUCUCCAUUUCUCCGAUCUCUCAAUCGGAAUUCAAAUUCCUAGAAUUUGUUUUCCGUCAAUACAAUCUCAUCUCCGAUUUCAUAAAUCUAGAAGGAUCUAGAACGAAAUACUCAAUUUGGAAAAUCGUUUUGCAUUUUCUUCGAAAAUAAUAAUCAGAAAUUGAUUACUUUAAGCGACGUUCUGGUGAUGUGAAAGCCCGUAUUUUUGGUUUGUUUGAUGAUAAGGAAAGUUCUGGAAGAUUUGAGGAUUUGGAUUUGGAUUGAUUUCGUUGCAUAGAGAGUUGAAGAGGGUAAAAAGAAUGGAUGUGGAUUUAAUUGGUGAUUUAGCGAGGCUUGAUGCUGAACUGUUGCAGCUUCCUGAUGUUUCGUCGUUUGCUAUCAAGGAUAACCCUUUUGUUGCCCAGAAGCUGUUUGAUCAAUGGCUAUCGCUCCCGGACACGGCACCUUUGGUGAAAAAUUUGCUUAAUAAUGCUAAAGCUGGUGGACCCUUGAGCGCGACUGGAGCUUCUUCCAGCACAAAUGUAGCGACAAGCAGUUCUUUGCCGUCUAUGUUUCCGGCUGGAAGUACCCCUCCGCUUUCCCCAAGAAGUUCAUCUGGUUCGCCGCGGACAACGAGACCCAGGGCAGGCCCCUCUAUGUUAGGAUCCCCUUUGAAAUUAGUGAACGAGCCUGUUAAGGAGCUAAUACCACAGUUCUAUUUUCAAAAUGGCCGUCCACCUACAAAUGAAUUGAAGGAACGCUGCUUGUUUAGAAUAAACCAGUUUUUCUACGGUCACACGGAUGGACUACAAAUGGAUGAAUUCAAACCAAUUACUAAGGAAAUAUGCAAGUUGCCAUCGUUCUUCUCCACUGUUCUUUUUAGGAAGAUUGAUGUUGGUCAAACAGGCAUCAUAACAAGGGAUGUCUUUG